GUAAGUUUUAAAUAUUUUUUUUUUUAUAUAUUCAGGCUUCUUCCUAAAUUGUUACGUUAUUUGCGAUUUAAUUGUAAAUUUUUUCCAUCGUUUCUGUUAAAUUUAUUCAUAUUUUUUUUUUUGGCAAUCAGUGACGAUUAAUACCACCGUGUAUCAUCGUACAGCGGAUUUAGGUACUAACCAAGCGGACGUGAGCGAUUUUGAUCUUACACGGUAACGAAAAAUCUUCGUUUCGUUCAAAUAAUAUCAAUGUGUACUUCAAUCUAAACAUGAUUGCUGUUUUAAGAAAUGAUUUGGUCGUAGGUUGAUGAUUAGAGAUGUCUCAUUAUUUACCCAAAACAAGAGGGAUUACUAAAAGCAUGUGCAAAUACUUGUAAAAGAAGUUGGCUCUCGUCUCAUCCGAUAUAAUUCUAUAUUCAUUGCAACUCUCUUUCUGAUGGAAGGUCAAUGUGUGUGUGUAAUAAGUAUAGCUGUUUCAAUAAUUGGCAUUGAAAUCUUUCAUACAUAUGUUAUUAUUUGAUAUUUUAUCCCUAAAGAAGCGUUGUGUACGGUGUUUAGCUGACCACAUAAAUCCUUAUGUACGGUGCAUAGUUAAGUUGUUGUACACCGUACACAAAAACUUUAUUUUCAUACUUGUUUAUUACCCAAACAGUUUCAAGGAAUGAGUAAUCACAGGUAGGUUUAUGAUUGGUAACUAUUACUGUUGCCCUGUAUUUGGUUUCUUUCAGAUAAAACAUGUAAAUGUCUCAACAACUGUAUCGAAAUUGAAAGUGGGUGUUGACUUUCACAACUAUUUGCGCAAUUAACUUAAUUGUUCUUAUUUGAAUAUCAAAGUUGUUUUAUGAAUAGGAAAAAAUCGAUGCAAAAAAUAUUUGGGAGCAGGAAUUUCAAAUGUUGAGAAAUGUACAUUGAAUAUUGAUAAAGCAAAACAAAGAUCUUCGUUACCUUGUAAGGUCAAAAUCGAUCAUGCCCGC
rnacentral:lncRNA from 1 species